rnacentral:rRNA from 1 species
GACGAACGCUGGCGGCGUGCCUAAUACAUGCAAGUCGAACGAGAGCAACCGGUGCUUGCACUGGUCAAUCUAGUGGCGAACGGGUGGGUAACACGUGGGUAACCUGCCCAUCAGAGGGGGAUAACAUCCGGAAACGGAUGCUAAAACCGCAUAGGUCUUCGAACCGCAUGGUUUGAAGAGGAAAAGAGGCGCAAGCUUCUGCUGAUGGAUGGACCCGCGGUGCAUUAGCUUGUUGGUGAGGUAACGGCUCACCAAGGCCGUGAUGCAUAGCCGACCUGAGAGGGUGAUCGGCCACAUUGGGACUGAGACACGGCCCAAACUCCUACGGGAGGCAGCAGUAGGGAAUCUUCCGCAAUGGACGCAAGUCUGACGGAGCAACGCCGCGUGAGUGAAGAAGGUUUUCGGAUCGUAAAACUCUGUUGUUAGAGAAGAACAAGUGCUAGAGUAACUGUUAGCGCCUUGACGGUAUCUAACCAGAAAGCCACGGCUAACUACGUG